CAGGGAGGACCACCUCCCAAGGCUAAAUACUACCUGAUGACCGAUAGUGAAGCAGUACCGUGAGGGAAAGGUGAAAAGAACCCCGGGAGGGGAGUGAAAUAGAACCUGAAACCGUGUGCCUACAACCGCUCAGAGCCCCUUAUGAGGGUGAUGAGGUGCUUUUUGUAGAACGAGCCAACGAGUUACGGUAUGUAGCAAGGUUAAGUACUUAAGGUACGGAGCCGAAGGGAAACCGAGUCUGAAUAGGGCGACUAGUUGCAUGCCGUAGACCCGAAACCGGGUGACCUAUCCAUGGCCAGGUUGAAGCGAGGGUAAAACCUCGUGGAGGACCGAACCACGUUGCUGUUGAAAAAGCAUGGGAUGAGCUGUGGAUAGCGGAGAAAUUCCAAUCGAACCCGGAGAUAGCUGGUUCUCUCCGAAAUAGCUUUAGGGCUAGCGUCGAGUAUGAGUAGUGGAGGUAGAGCACUGAAUGGGCUAGGGGGCAUAGCGCUUACCGAACCUUAUCAAACUCCGAAUGCCACAUACUUUGAGCUCGGCAGUCAGACUACGAAUGAUAAGAUCCGUGGUCAAAAGGGAAACAGCCCAGAUCGUCAGCUAAGGUCCCAAAGUGUAAGUUAAGUGGGAAAGGAUGUGAGAUUUCUAAGACAACUAGGAUGUUGGCUUAGAAGCAGCCAUUCAUUAAAAGAGUGCGUAAUAGCUCACUAGUCGAGAGAUCUUGCGCCGAAAAUGUAACGGGGCUAAACUUACCA
rnacentral:rRNA from 1 species